rnacentral:rRNA from 1 species
UACGAAGGGUGCAAACGUUUGCUCGGAAUUAUUGGGCGUAAAGCGCACGUAGGCGGCUUAGCAAGUCGGAAGUGAAAGCCCUCGGCUCAACCAAGGAAGUGCUUUCGAAACUGCUGAGCUUGAGUAGUUAAGAGGAUCGCGGAAUUCCCGGUGUAGAGGUGAAAUUCGUAGAUAUCGGGAGGAACACCAGUGGCGAAGGCGGCGAUCUGGGAACAUACUGACGCUGAGGUGCGAAAGCGUGGGGAGCAAACAGG